AGUGAACGCUGGCGGUGCGCCUAAUACAUGCAAGUCGAGCGCAGGAAGCUGACGGAACUCUUCGGAGGGAAGGCAGUGGAAUGAGCGGCGGACGGGUGAGUAACACGUAAGGAACCUGCCUCAAGGAUUGGGAUAACUCCGAGAAAUCGGAGCUAAUACCGGAUAGUUCAACGGACCGCAUGGUCCGCUGAUGAAAGGCGCUCCGGCGUCACCUUGAGAUGGCCUUGCGGUGCAUUAGCUAGUUGGUGGGGUAACGGCCCACCAAGGCGACGAUGCAUAGCCGACCUGCGAGGGUGAUCGGCCACACUGGGACUGAGACACGGCCCAGACUCCUACGGGAGGCAGCAGUAGGGAAUCUUCCACAAUGGACGAAAGUCUGAUGGAGCAACGCCGCGUGAGUGAUGAAGGUUUUCGGAUCGUAAAACUCUGUUGUAAGGGAAGAACACGUACGAGAGGGAAUGCUCGUACCUUGACGGUACCUUACGAGAAAGCCACGGCUAACUACGUGCCAGCCGCCGCGGUAA
rnacentral:rRNA from 1 species